CGGCGUGCUUAACACAUGCAAGUCGAACGGAAAGGCCCUGCUUUUGUGGGGUGCUCGAGUGGCGAACGGGUGAGUAACACGUGAGUAACCUGCCCUUGACUUUGGGAUAACUUCAGGAAACUGGGGCUAAUACCGGAUAGGAGCUCCUGCUGCAUGGUGGGGGUUGGAAAGUUUCGGCGGUUGGGGAUGGACUCGCGGCUUAUCAGCUUGUUGGUGGGGUAGUGGCUUACCAAGGCUUUGACGGGUAGCCGGCCUGAGAGGGUGACCGGCCACAUUGGGACUGAGAUACGGCCCAGACUCCUACGGGAGGCAGCAGUGGGGAAUAUUGCACAAUGGGCGGAAGCCUGAUGCAGCAACGCCGCGUGCGGGAUGACGGCCUUCGGGUUGUAAACCGCUUUCGCCUGUGACGAAGCGUGAGUGACGGUAAUGGGUAAAGAAGCACCGGCUAACUACGUGCCAGCAGCCGCGGUGAUACGUAGGGUGCGAGCGUUGUCCGGAUUUAUUGGGCGUAAAGGGCUCGUAGGUGGUUGAUCGCGUCGGAAGUGUAAUCUUGGGGCUUAACCCUGAGCGUGCUUUCGAUACGGGUUGACUUGAGGAAGGUAGGGGAGAAUGGAAUUCCUGGUGGAGCGGUGGAAUGCGCAGAUAUCAGGAGGAACACCAGUGGCGAAGGCGGUUCUCUGGGCCUUUCCUGACGCUGAGGAGCGAAAGCGUGGGGAGCGAACAGGCUUAGAUACCCUGGUAGUCCACGCUGUAAACGGUGGGUACUAGGUGUGGGGUCCAUUCCACGGGUUCCGUGCCGUAGCUAACGCUUUAAGUACCCCGCCUGGGGAGUACGGCCGCAAGGCUAAAACUCAAAGGAAUUGACGGGGCCCCGCACAAGCGGCGGAGCAUGCGGAUUAAUUCGAUGCAACGCGUAGAACCUUACCUGGGUUUGACAUGGAUCGGGAGUGCUCAGAGAUGGGUGUGCCUCUUUUGGGGUCGGUUCACAGGUGGUGCAUGCCUGUCGUCAGCUCGUGUCGUGAGAUGUUGGGUUAAGUCCCGCAACGAGCGCAACCCUUGUUCACUGUUGCCAGCACGUUAUGGUGGGGACUCAGUGGAGACCGCCGGGGUCAACUCGGAGGAAGGUGGGGAUGACGUCAAGUCCUCAUGCCCCUUAUGUCCAGGGCUUCACGCAUGCUACAAUGGCUGGUACAGAGAGUGGCGAGCCUGUGAGGGUGAGCGAAUCUCGGAAAGCCGGUCUCAGUUCGGAUUGGGGUCUGCAACUCGACCUCAUGAAGUCGGAGUCGCUAGUAAUCGCAGAUCAGCAACGCUGCGGUGAAUACGUUCCCGGGGCUUGUACACACCGCCCGUCAAGUCAUGAAAGUUGGUAACACCCGAAGCCGGUGGCCUAACCGUUGUGGGGGAGCCGUCGAAGGUGGGACUGGUGAUUAGGACU
rnacentral:rRNA from 1 species